rnacentral:rRNA from 1 species
AUUGAACGCUGGCGGCAGGCUUAACACAUGCAAGUCGAGCGGAGAUGAGGUGCUUGCACCUUAUCUUAGCGGCGGACGGGUGAGUAAUGCUUAGGAAUCUGCCUAUUAGUGGGGGACAACAUUCCGAAAGGAAUGCUAAUACCGCAUACGUCCUACGGGAGAAAGCAGGGGAUCUUCGGACCUUGCGCUAAUAUAUGAGCCUAAGUCGGAUUAGCUAGUUGGUGGGGUAAAGGCCUACCAAGGCGACGAUCUGUAGCGGGUCUGAGAGGAUGAUCCGCCACACUGGGACUGAGAAACGGCCCAGACUCCUACGGGAGGCAGCAGUGGGGAAUAUUGGACAAUGGGGGGAACCCUGAUCCAGCCAUGCCGCGUGUGUGAAGAAGGCCUUAUGGUUGUAAAGCACUUUAAGCGAGGAGGAGGCUACUGAGACUAAUACUCUUGGAUAGUGGACGUUACUCGCAGAAUAAGCACCGGCUAACUCUGUGCCAGCAGCCGCCGUAAAAC